GCCCCGGUGGUGUAAGGUGCACAUCUGCCUCUUUUACAUAUACAUAAGUGUUAUGCGGAAGGACCCCGUUCGAUUCGGGGCUGGGGCA